rnacentral:tRNA from 1 species
GCGGAAGUAGUUCAGUGGUAGAACAUCACCUUGCCAUGGUGGGGGUCGCGGGUUCGAAUCCCGUUUUCCGCU